AUGCCAUGCCAAUCACUGGUGGAGAGGGAGGAAAGGGGUGGGCUCCUGAGCCACCUUAGGCAAAUGAUUGAGGAAGGCGGAGGCACGGGAACCAAUUGAAUAAAGAAAAGGCUAAAUCGUCUAAGAGAGAGAGCUUCGGAGCAUCUUUGGGAAUCCUGUGGUAAGCGAUAGAAAUCCGGCCAGACCCCUGGGGCGGGGCUUGAAGGGAAAAUAGGCCUGGAUGCAAGGCUGGAUAGAACUGUAGCUGGAGAGGUUUCUUAAGGACCAUUUGUCUGAUCACUUUACUUUCUAGAUGUAGAUGCGGUUCAGAGAAGUGAUGUGACUCAUCUUUAAGUUCAUACACAAUUGGUGGUGGAGUGAAAACUGAGUAUAGUGCUGACUUUAGUGAGAAUAUGCUAUGUCAUAUACUUGAGUGCACUGCCUUAUUUAAUAGCUGCCAAGUACAAACCAGGUUUUAUUUUACAAACAAGAAAAGUGAUGCUCAGGAAGAUUAGAUACAUGAAAUGGCUGGAUGGCAAGGGAGAUUCAGACAUUAAGUGUUUUAAUCCAAAUAUUUUCCUUUUUUCACUAUUUACAUUCAGGAAUGGUUUUCUGACUUCAGCUACUCACUAAGGGAGUCAGAGAACGUAGAAUGUGUUUAUCACUGUACAGAAAGAGUGAGCUAGAAUACACUCAGAAACCUAUCAAACAGAGAAAUUCAGGACAUAGAUGGAAAGGGUGCUUGAUCCAGGUGAAGUUACUAGCCCCACCCCCUCUCCUAGGGUUGGCUAAGAGACCUGGGACUAUGGAGGUUAGAAGAAAAUGAAUAAAGGCACACCUGGUGAAAUGAAAUUAAACCCUGUAUUUAAAACAACAACAAAACCUGUGUGGUCAAGAUGUAGGAAGUAGCAUCUGCUUAUGGAGAAGAGGGGCAGUAAGAAUCUUAAAUCAUUAAAAGUCAGGCAUGGGGAGGCUGGGGGGAGGCCCACCAAAUGCCUUAAAACCUCAGAACACAGGGCCCAUUUGCCUUUUCUUCUACAACCACUACUGGUCAGUUGGUCUCCUGGAAAGAAAGUAGCUGCAGCCUCUAGAUUGGCUCCCUGAGUAGUUGUGACUGUAAGUCUCACCCUCCCAUGCCCUCUCUCUUCACCCCCCCCCCCAACCCACACUUUCAGGCAGCAGUGACAAAACAGACUUCUGAACACAUUUAUUUGACAAGUGGUAAGAGGACUGACUUAGGCUUGCUCCCCACUUCUACCUGUGGGGGGUUGUUCAUAAGCUCAGACACACAGAAGAGCAACUUUGAGCCCAUGACCUACCCCUGGGGUAAACAAGACAAUCUGGAGUGGUAUAUGUGUGUGUGGGGGGCACAGGGAGGGAAUAAAAA